ensembl:lncRNA
CACACACACACACACACACACACACACACGCAGGCACACCCUGUUCUCCACGAUUCCCGAGCACCUCACAGCGCUCAGCUGAAGGCCGGGAAGAGGCUCGGGCCAACAGGAGCGGGUCUCGGGCCCUUUGCGGAACCUGCGCUCGCCGAGCGGAGCGUGCACGUGCGCGUCUCCCGAGCACUCACAGCGCCGCCCGGCAGCCAGUGCCGCCGGCGCCAUUGGGAAGUGAAACGCGGGGCUGGGCGGCGGCCUCGUGCAAGCGGCCGGAAAAAAUCGGCGGCUUGCUCUGAUUAAAGAAACAAACGAAAGAGAGUGAGAAGGAAGGUGGACAAUAUACCUGCCCCACCCCCUACCAGUUUACUAAAGACAAGAAAAAAAAGAUAUGUGAGAUUUGAAGGGGAAGAAUGUGAGGAGUUCUGCCUCUGUAGCUGUCGUUUUCCUGGCACCACUUAUUGAAGAGACAGACUUUCCUUCAUUGUAUAGACUUGUCCUGUUUUGUCAUGCAUUAACUGACCCUACGUGUGAGGGUUUCUAUCCUGGGCUUUCUAUCCUGUUCCAUUGAUUUCUGUUUGUGUUUUUGUGCCAAUACCAUACUGUUUUGAUGACUGUUGCUUUGUAGUAUAGUCUAAAUUCAAGGAACCUGAUUCCUCCAACUCCAUAUUUCUUUAUCAAGAUUGCUUUGGGCAUUUGGGUUCUUUUGUGUCUCCAUAUAAAUUUAAAAAAUUUUUGUUCUAGUUCUGUGAAAAAUGCCAUUGGUAAUUUGAUAGAGAUUGCUCUGAAUCUGUGAUUGCCUUGGAUAGUAUAAUCAUUCUGACAACAUUGAUUCUUCCAGUCCAAGAACAUGGUAUAUUUUUCCAUCUGUGUCGCCUUUGAUUUCUUUCAUCUUAUAGUUUUCAGAGUAUAGGUCUUUUGUCUCCUCAGAUAGGUUUAUUCCUAGGUAUUUUAUUCUUUUUGAUGCAGUGGUAAAUGGGGUGGUUUCUUUAAUUUC